AACGAACGCUGGCGGCAGGCCUAACACAUGCAAGUCGAGCGAACCCUUCGGGGUCAGCGGCGGACGGGUUAGUAACGCGUGGGAAUAUACCCUUUGGUACGGAAUAGCCUCGGGAAACUGAGAGUAAUACCGUAUGUGCCCUUCGGGGGAAGAUUUAUCGCCAAAGGAUUAGCCCGCGUUGGAUUAGAUAGUUGGUGGGGUAAUGGCCUACCAAGUCUACGAUCCAUAGCUGGUUUGAGAGGAUGAUCAGCAACACUGGGACUGAGACACGGCCCAGACUCCUACGGGAGGCAGCAGUGGGGAAUCUUAGACAAUGGGCGCAAGCCUGAUCUAGCCAUGCCGCGUGGACGAUGAAGGCCUUAGGGUUGUAAAGUCCUUUCAGAUGGGAAGAUAAUGACGGUACCAUCAGAAGAAGCCCCGGCUAACUCCGUGCCAGCAGCCGCGGUAAAGUCUGUACU
rnacentral:rRNA from 1 species